AUAUGUACGGUUCAACUUCUGCAAAAUCUGUCACCCCACUGAUUUUCAGGGUCGAUUCCACUGGUCUGACUCAAUAGAUGGCUGUCCCCUUUCCCCCUCACCACUCCAUAUACAAACUUACCCAAUGUUGGCCUGAUGCAAAACAGUAACUUUGCCCAUAGAGGAGGGCCUUUCCUUGGGUCAAGGAUAUAUGAGUAGGUGCAUUUCCAUGCUAGAACCUCCAAACAAGCUCUCAAGAUCCACUUUUAGGAGAACAGAGGGUGGUCAAUCUUCCAGGAUUCCAAACUCAUACAAAUGAGGCCCUGUGUGACUCAGUCU
ensembl:misc_RNA 7SK 7SK RNA